rnacentral:rRNA from 1 species
GCAAGUCAAGGAGAACGUUUUCUUCGGAACACUAUUAAACUGGCGAACGGGUGAGUAACACGUAGGUAAUCUGCCUUAGAGAUUGGGAUAACUCGGCGAAAGCCGGACUAAUACCAAAUAAUGCAACGACUUUUUCGCGAGAUGUUGUUAAAGCGGGCUUCGGGUCGUACUUUAAGAUGAGCCUGCGGCCGAUUAGCUAGUUGGUAAGGUAAUGGCUUACCAAGGCGAUGAUCGGUAGCUGGUCUGAGAGGACGAGC